AGAGUUUGAUCCUGGCUCAGGACGAACGCUGGCGGCGUGCCUAAUGCAUGCAAGUCGCACGCAGAGUGCUUGCACUCUGAGUGGCGCACGGCUGAGGACCACGUGGGAACAUGCCCUGCAGUGGGGGACAACACCGCGAAAGCGGUGCUAAUCCCGCAUACGCUCGCAAGAGGAAAGCUUGUCAAAGAGCGCUGCAGGAGUGGCCCGCGGCCCAUCAGGUCGUCGGUGGGGUAACGGCCUACCGAGCCGAUGACGGGUAGCUGGUCUGUGAGGACAGACAGCCAGACUGGGACUGAGACACGGCCCAGACUCCUACGGGAGGCAGCAGCAAGGAAUUUUCGUCAAUGGGCGCAAGCCUGAACGAGCAACGCCGCGUGCAGGAUGACGGCCUUCGGGUUGUAAACUGCUUUUCCGAGGGAAGACAUCGACGGUACCUCGGGAAUAAGGCUCGGCUAACUCUGUGCCAGCAGCCGCGGUAAGACAGAGGAGCCAAGCGUUGUCCGGAUUGACUGGGCGUAAAGCGCACGCAGGCGGAUGCGCGCGUGGGGUGUGAAAUCUGGCCGCUUAACGGCCAGGCGCCAUCCCAUACGGCGCGUCUGGAGUGAUGCAGAGGUCGAUGGAAUUGCCGGUGUAGUGGUGAAAUGCGUAGAGAUCGGCAGGAACACCCAGGGGGAAACCAGUCGACUGGGCAUCUACUGACGCUGAGGUGCGAGAGCGUGGGGAGCGAACCGGAUUAGAUACCCGGGUAGUCCACGCCGUAAACGAUGGCCACUCGGCCUUUGGCGACGGAACCUCCGUCGCUGGGGGCCUUAGCUAACGCGGGAAGUGGCCCGCCUGGGAACUACGAGCGCAAGCUUAAAACUCAAAGGAAUUGACGG
rnacentral:rRNA from 1 species